rnacentral:lncRNA from 1 species
CCAUAAUUCAUACAUAAACUUGUACAAAUGUACAAAGCUAGAUUUAGAGUGUAUUUGUUGGGCAACAACAUAGACGUCCUUGGCAACUGCCACUACUCAAACCUCAUCGUUGAAAUCUCUGUAUACAAUCUUCAUUAGAUGAUGGACAUUCCUGUGAAUCAAAACAAUCAAAUUGGGCGUCAUCACUCAUAAUUUCUUCAUAUCUUCUUGCACCACCUACAAUCAAUAUAAAUAAUUUUUAUAUGGAGAAAAGUUUUGUGGCAUCAAUUAUAUAGUAAAUUAUUUUGAAAUUAUACAUGAAAAAAUAGGUAGAGAAUAAAUAAAUGGGUUACCUCGAUGCAAAACUAAAGCAAUGCAAAGAAUUGCAAUGAAACAGUAUACUCGGUUGAUGCCGAUAGCCAUGUUCUCUUGAAAGAUGAAUGGACAAACAACGUCG